GCUGAGAUGAUAGUGAUCUACUUUUUUUUUCCUACUUGAAUUCUCUCUGCUUAGGUUUAUGCAUUAACCCCUGCUUGAGGAGUUCUCUGCACACAUGGUGCUGUGUCCCAUCUCCAUCUGGAAGGGGUGAGGCACCUGCAGUGAGGAUUCCCACCAUCAUCUCAUAGUGGAUUCAUAAGACAUCCUACAUCCAAAGACCUUUGAUUCUUGACACAUCUCAAAAAGAUGCAAAAGUGGCACUUCCCCUACAAAGGCUCCACCACAGCACAAGGAACAACCUAUGUUUUAUCACUGUUUCUGCAGUGAAAAGAAAAGCAGCCAGAUGUUGUGCAUUGCUCUAUGCAGCAGCACCAGAUCACUCAGUUCAAAGUAAAGGUGUUUUUUUCCUUAUUUGCAUGAAAGUAAAAACGUAUCCUGAAUUGCAAACUAUUUACCACCUGAGAAAAUGAAAAAAAUCAAAA